UGGGGAAUUUUGGACAAUGGGCGAAAGCCUGAUGCAGCAACGCCGCGUGAGUGAUGAAGGCCUUCGGGUUGUAAAGCUCUGUCUUUUGGGACGAUAAUGACGGUACCAAAGGAGGAAGCCACGGCUAACUACGUGCCAGCAGCCGCGGUAAUACGUAGGUGGCAAGCGUUGUCCGGAUUUACUGGGCGUAAAGGAUGCGUAGGCGGAUUUUUAAGUGAGAUGUGAAAACCCUAAGCUUAACUUGGGGACUGCAUUUCAUACUGGAAAUCUAGAGUGCGGGAGAGGAGAAUGGAAUUCCUAGUGUAGCGGUGAAAUGCGUAGAGAUUAGGAAGAACACCAGUGGCGAAGGCGAUUCUCUGGACCGUAACUGACGCUGAGGCAUGAAAGCGUGGGUAGCAAACAGGAUUAGAUACCCUGGUAGUCCACGCCGUAAACGAUGAGUACUAGGUGUAGGAGGUAUCGACCCCUUCUGUGCCGCAGUUAACACAAUAAGUACUCCGCCUGGGAAGUACGAUCGCAAGAUUAAAACUCAAAUGAAUUGACGGGGUCAUAGCUGUUUUCCU
rnacentral:rRNA from 1 species